rnacentral:snRNA from 1 species
GGAUGUGAGGGCGAUCUGGCUGCGACAUCCGUCACCCCAUUGAUUACCAGGGUUGAUUCGGCUGAUCUGGCUGGCCAGGCAGGAGUCCCCUUCCUCCCUCACCGCUCCAUGUGCGUCCCUCCCGAAGCGGCGCGCUCGGUAGAAGAGGACGACCUUCCCCGCUAGAGGAGGACCGGUCUUCAGUCAAGGGUAUAGGAGUAGCUGCACUCCCCUGCUAGAACCUCCAAACAAGCUCUCAAAAAAUAAUUGUGUACCUAUAGAAGUUUAUAUUUUAAUUCCAUUUCCCAUGAACAUUUUGAAGAACAAUCAUCUAUAAAUGU